rnacentral:rRNA from 1 species
UAGGGAAUCUUCCACAAUGGACGCAAGUCUGAUGGAGCAACGCCGCGUGAGUGAAGAAGGGUUUCGGCUCGUAAAGCUCUGUUGUUAAAGAAGAACACGUAUGAGAGUAACUGUUCAUACGUUGACGGUAUUUAACCAGAAAGUCACGGCUAACUACGUGUCAG